rnacentral:rRNA from 1 species
GACGAACCGUGCGAACGUUAUUCGGAAUCACUGGGCUUAAAGCGCGUGUAGGCGGGACGGCACGUCGGUCGCUGAAAUCCCCCGGCUUAACCGGGGAACUGGCGUCGAUACGACCGUCCUGGAGGGGCGUAGGGGGACCUGGAACUUCCGGUGGAGCGGUGAAAUGCGUUGAGAUCGGAAGGAACACCGAUGGCGAAAGCAGCGUGCUGGACCUUUUUCUGACGCUGAGGCGCGAAAGCCAGGGGAGCAAACGGGG